rnacentral:rRNA from 1 species
GACGAACGCUGGCGGCGUGCCUAAUACAUGCAAGUAGAACGCUGAAGGAGGAGCUUGCUCUUCUGGAUGAGUUGCGAACGGGUGAGUAACGCGUAGGUAACCUGCCUGGUAGCGGGGGAUAACUAUUGGAAACGAUAGCUAAUACCGCAUAACAGUAGAUGUUGCAUGACAUUUACUUAAAAGGUGCAAUUGCAUCACUACCAGAUGGACCUGCGUUGUAUUAGCUAGUUGGUGGGGUAACGGCUCACCAAGGCGACGAUACAUAGCCGACCUGAGAGGGUGAUCGGCCACACUGGGACUGAGACACGGCCCAGACUCCUACGGGAGGCAGCAGUAGGGAAUCUUCGGCAAUGGACGGAAGUCUGACCGAGCAACGCCGCGUGAGUGAAGAAGGUUUUCGGAUCGUAAAGCUCUGUUGUAAGAGAAGAACGAGUGUGAGAGUGGAAAGUUCACACUGUGACGGUAUCUUACCAGAAAGGGACGGCUAACUACGUG